rnacentral:rRNA from 1 species
UGGGGAAUAUUGCACAAUGGGCGCAAGCCUGAUGCAGCCAUGCCGCGUGUGUGAAGAAGGCCUUCGGGUUGUAAAGCACUUUCAGCGAGGAGGAAGGUGGUGAACUUAAUACGUUCAUCAAUUGACGUUACUCGCAGAAGAAGCACCGGCUAACUCCGUGCCAGCAGCCGCGGUAAUACGGAGGGUGCAAGCGUUAAUCGGAAUUACUGGGCGUAAAGCGCACGCAGGCGGUUUGUUAAGUCAGAUGUGAAAUCCCCGGGCUCAACCUGGGAACUGCAUUUGAAACUGGCAAGCUAGAGUCUCGUAGAGGGGGGUAGAAUUCCAGGUGUAGCGGUGAAAUGCGUAGAGAUCUGGAGGAAUACCGGUGGCGAAGGCGGCCCCCCUGGACGAAGGCUGACGCUCAGGUGCGAAAAGCGUGGGGAGCAAAACAGGAUUAGAUACCCUGGUAGUCCACGCUGUAAAACGAUGUCGAUUUGGAGGUUGUGCCCUUGAGGCGUGGCUUCCGGAGCUAACGCGUUAAAUCGACCGCCUGGGGAG